AUCAAUAUUUGUUCAAUGAAUCUUUUCAAAUCAGUUUAUUGGGUUUGAUAAAAUAUUACUGUGAUGUUACAUUCUAAUAUUUCUGUCUAUAACUGAUUGAUUGAUGUUUGAUCCAUUGAUCCUCUGUUACCUGUCAGGUGAGUCUCUGUCCUCCUCUGUGUCUCUUCCAGAGGACAGACGGAGACACUGAGGACGUCCUGCUGCACUUCCUGUUGUCCCUCUGUAGUGGUGAUGUCAUCGGGGAGCAGGUGAUCCUUAUCUGCAGGAAGCGGACCAAUCAGAGCCCAGCAGAGGUGAGACGCUUCAGCAGAGGAGACAGAGACUUCCUGACCAGGAGGCUCCGCCCCCUGCAGCUCACCUGUUCUCACCUGGAGCUGCAGGGAGACUCAUGAUGAACCCGAGUCUCUGAUUGGUUCACUGAUCUGCUGCUCACCUGGAGAAAAACUGAACCUGUUCACCUGCUGAACCUGUUCACCUGCUGAACCUGUUCACCUGCUGAACCUGUUCACCUGUUGAACCUGUUCACCUGCUGAACCUGUUCACCUGGAUGUUUAACUGAGUCACUAAAUGUUCUCAGUCUGACAGGAGCACCUGGACCAGUGGCUGAGUGUCAUCAGAGCGCUGAUCAGAGGUCUGUCAGGCUGCAGGACUUGGACUAGGCCAUAUGAGGCGACAUCUUGGAGUUUCUCUCUAGUAUUAAUUUAUUAUUAAAAACAUUAUUUCCUCUGAA